UCAGAAUAACAAUCGGAAGCAGUAAAACUCGGGUUUACCUGUAUGGCUUCCAACAACAACGACGCGGCGGCUGCUCCAGCUUGCGCAACGGCUUGGGUAUCGACAUCUUGGAUGACCUGAGGAGGUGAUGCGGCCAGGGUCUCUGCCGAUACGAGCACAGGGGGAUCUGCCGAUUCUACACGAGCUCGGACUCGGCGACUGGUUUUCUUGGUAGUCCUCUUAUGGACUUGCUUUGAUCGGCCAGCGAUCACGUCUACGGACGGAGCAUCGUAGCCGAUGAGAGGGUAAGUGGUAUAUGGAUGAUGAUGCUCUAUUAUCCGACCGCUUCGGCUG
rnacentral:lncRNA from 1 species